CUAAAGCGUCAGUAGCCGGGCCCGUAAGUCCCUGGCGAAAUCACACGGCUCAACCGUGGGGCUUGCUGGGGAUACUGCGGGCCUUGGGACCGGGAGAGGCGGAGGGUACUCCUGGGGUAGGGGUGAAAUCCUAUAAUCCCAGGAGGACCGCCAGUGGCGAAGGCGCUCCGCUGGAACGGGUCCGAUGGUGAGGGACGAAGGCCAGGGGAGCGAACCGGAUUAGAUACCCGGGUAGUCCUGGCUGUAAAGGAUGCGGGCUAGGUGUCGGGCGAGCUUCGUGCUCACUCGGUGCCGAAGGGAAGCCGUUAAGCCCGCCGCCUGGGGAGUACGGCCGCAAGGCUGAAACUUAAAGGAAUUGGCGGGGGAGCACUACAAGGGGUGGAGCGUGCGGUUUAAUUGGAUUCAACGCCGGGAACCUCACCGGGGGCGACGGCAGGAUGAAGGCCAGGCUGAAGGUCUUGCCGGACACGCCGAGAGGAGGUGCAUGGCCGCCGUCAGCUCGUACCGUGAGGCGUCCACUUAAGUGUGGUAACGAGCGAGACCCGCGCCCCCAGUUGCCAGUCCUUCCCGCUGGGGAGGAGGCACUCUGGGGGGACCGCCGGCGAUAAGCCGGAGGAAGGAGCGGGCGACGGUAGGUCAGUAUGCCCCGAAACCCCCGGGCUACACGCGCGCUACAAUGAGCGGGACAAUGGGAUCCGACCCCGGAAGGGGAAGGGAAUCCCCUAAACCCGCUCCCAGUUCGGAUCGCGGGCUCAACUCGCCCGCGUGAAGCUGGAAUCCCUAGUACCCGCGUGUCAU
rnacentral:rRNA from 1 species